rnacentral:sRNA from 1 species
UGUUGCAAGUACAGACCCGCCCACUCAGGUACAGAGGCCCCCUACCCCCCCAGCAGCAGCUCCGGCUCUCCUGGCCUCCCAGGGCUGCUGCCCUCUCCUCUCCAGUGUUCUGUCUCUCCAUGCCCGGGGUGUUUUGCACUCCCGGCUUUGGGCUAACUGGCCUUUCCCCAGCCCUAUCUGGCUUUGUGCUUGUCCUUCUCUCCUAGUGCCCUGGUGCUAUGAGUUUCUCGCCAUUUUGGCAGGGAGGAGCAUUGAGCCUUCUCUGGGCCUUCUCCCACAUUUCCUCCCUGUAGGGAACCAUCCCCGUCCUCCUCAAGCCUGGCACUGAUGUCGAGACCAGCCCAGGUGCCACAGGCAUCUGGUGAGCAGUCGAGAGGCAAUGGUGCCAAUCCCCCUGGAGCACCCCCGGAGGUGGAACCGUCCUCUGGCAACCCCAGCCCCCAGGAGGCAGCCUCUGUGCUGUUGCCACGAUGCCGUCUCAACCCUGACAGCAGCUGGGCUCCCAAGAGAGUGGCCAUAACCAGCCCCUUAUCUGGACUCCAGAAGGCCCAGUCUGUGCACAGUCUGGUGCCACAGGAAAGAGAUGAGGCCGGUCUGCAGGCCCCUU